AGUCGAGCGGCAGCGGAGAAGUAGCUUGCUACUUUGCCGGCGAGCGGCGGACGGGUGAGUAAUGUCUGGGAAACUGCCUGAUGGAGGGGGAUAACUACUGGAAACGGUAGCUAAUACCGCAUGACCUCGCAAGAGCAAAGUGGGGGACCUUCGGGCCUCACGCCAUCGGAUGUGCCCAGAUGGGAUUAGCUAGUAGGUGGGGUAAUGGCUCACCUAGGCGACGAUCCCUAGCUGGUCUGAGAGGAUGACCAGCCACACUGGAACUGAGACACGGUCCAGACUCCUACAGGAGGCAGCAGUGGGGAAUAUUGCACAAUGGGCGCAAGCCUGAUGCAGCCAUGCCGCGUGUGUGAAGAAGGCCUUAGGGUUGUAAAGCACUUUCAGCGAGGAGGAAGGGUUCAAUGUUAAUAGCACUGUGCAUUGACGUUACUCACAGAAGAAGCACCGGCUAACUCCGUGCCAGCAGCCGCGGUAAUACGGAGGGUGCAAGCGUUAAUCGGAAUUACUGGGCGUAAAGCGCACGCAGGCGGUUUGUUAAGUCAGAUGUGAAAUCCCCGAGCUUAACUUGCGAACUGCAUUUGAGACUGGCAAGCUAGAGUCUUGUAGAGGGGGGU
rnacentral:rRNA from 1 species